rnacentral:ncRNA from 1 species
CUCUGUUUCUAGAGGAUUCAGGGCAGAAGGAG